rnacentral:rRNA from 1 species
UGCCAGCAGCCGCGGUAAUACGUAGGGUCCGAGCGUUAUCCGGAAUCAUUGGGCGUAAAGAGCUCGUAGGCGGUUCAGCAAGUCGGCUGUGAAAGUUCGAGGCUCAACCUCGAAAUUGCAGUCGAUACUGCUGUGACUUGAAUUCGGUAGAGGAGAAUGGAAUUCCCGGUGUAGCGGUGAAAUGCGCAGAUAUCGGGAGGAACACCAGUAGCGAAGGCGGUUCUCUGGGCCGAUAUUGACGCUGAGGAGCGAAAGCGUGGGGAGCAAACAGGAUUAGAUA